GUAACCUUCGGGAGCCAGCCGUCUAAGGUGGGACAGAUGAUUAGGGUGAAGUCGUAACAAGGUAGCCGUAGGAGAACCUGCGGCUGGAUCACCUCCUUUCUAAGGAA
rnacentral:rRNA from 2 species